GGGCGAUUAGCUCAAUUGGCAGAGCAGCGGACUCUUAAUCCGUAGGCUCCGAGUUCGACUCUCGGAUCGCCCA
rnacentral:tRNA from 1 species